AUUGAACGCUGGCGGCAUGCCUUACACAUGCAAGUCGAACGGUAACAGGUCUUCGGAUGCUGACGAGUGGCGAACGGGUGAGUAAUACAUCGGAACGUGCCUAGUAGUGGGGGAUAACUACUCGAAAGAGUGGCUAAUACCGCAUGAGAUCUACGGAUGAAAGCAGGGGAUCGCAAGACCUUGUGCUACUAGAGCGGCCGAUGGCAGAUUAGGUAGUUGGUGGGAUAAAAGCUUACCAAGCCGACGAUCUGUAGCUGGUCUGAGAGGACGAUCAGCCACACUGGGACUGAGACACGGCCCAGACUCCUACGGGAGGCAGCAGUGGGGAAUUUUGGACAAUGGGCGCAAGCCUGAUCCAGCAACGCCGCGUGCAGGAUGAAGGCCUUCGGGCUGUAAACUGCUUUUGUACGGAACGAAAAGCCCUGGGUUAAUACCCUGGGGUCAUGACGGUACCGUAAGAAUAAGCACCGGCUAACUACGUGCCAGCAGCCGCCGUAA
rnacentral:rRNA from 1 species